AUGGGGUCCGUGUCCCUGAAGCUGCCGGCGUCCCGCCGCCGCCACGGCGGGCCGCUCUCCUGCCUCUGCUCACCGGCGCCGCUCAACCUCCUCAUGCUGCUCUCCCUCCUCUGCACCAACCUCCUCGCCUUCUUCGCCUUCUUCGCCGCCCCUCCCCGCCACGACCCCGCCGCCGGCACAACCCCCUCCGCCUCCUCCAACCUCUCCGCGCACGUCGCCGCCAUCGCGCUCGAGAUCGGCGGCGGGUCCUCCUCCUCCGGCGCCCGCCUCCCGGACGGCCUGCCCCCGGAGCUGCUCCUCUUCCUCACCCCGCACGCGCUGCCGCUCGGCCGCGACGCGCGGACGGGGCUCACCCACAUGCCGGCCUCCGUCGCGGCCUCCUGCCUCCGCUCCCCGUCCGCGCUGGCGCUCCUCUCGGCCUUCAUGUCCUACGCGCCCCACUCCGCCUGCCCGCGCAACGCCACCCUCCCGCGCCGGCUCGUCUCCAAGGGCUGCGAGCCGCUGCCCCGCCGCCGGUGCCUCUCCCGCGGGCCCCGCGCCCCGCUCCCGGCCUCCGGCAUGGGCCUCGACCACCGCCGCUGGGACGGCCCCGCGCGCGGCGGCGGCCACGAGUUCCUCGUCGACGACGUGCUGCGCCUGGCCGCGUCCAAGAUCCGGAUCGGCCUCGACGUCGCCGGCGGCGCCGCCAACUUCGCCGCCCGGAUGAGGGAGCGCGGGGUCACCGUCGUCACCUCCGUGCUCGACGGGCCCGGGAAGCCGAUGAACGAGUUCGUGGCGGCGAGGGGCCUGUUCCCGCUCCUGCUCUCGCCGGCGCACCGGUUCCCCUUCUACGACGGGGUGUUUGACCUGGUGCACGUCGGCACCGCGGCGCUGGACGAGGCCGGGUCGCCCGCCAUGGGGCAGGCGGCGACGCCGGAGGCGCUGGAGUUCUUCCUGUUCGACGUCGACAGGGUGCUGCGCGCCGGCGGGCUGCUCUGGAUCGACAGCUACGUGUGCCAGAGCGAGGAGAGGAGGCGAGUGGUUGCCAAGCUCGUUGACAGGUUUGGUUACAAGAAGCUCAAGUGGGUCGUCGGAGAGAAGGCCGGCGGUGCAGCGACAUCAACCUACCUCUCGGCGGUGCUGCGAAAGCCGGCAAGAAGCUGA
rnacentral:rRNA from 1 species